rnacentral:misc_RNA from 1 species
GGACAGAGAAGGUUAUUAGCAAUUUUCUGCAGAGUCCACUAGUGAAAGGCGAAGACAGUACAACAAAUGAGCUGUCUGAGCGUUUGGGAUCUGUGAACAACCUUGUUCAUAUGGUGUUGAAACACCAGCAAGCAAUUGAUGAGCUCAUGCAGGAAAAUGAAAAGCUACGCGAGAUACUGGUGAAAGACUUGAAAGUCUCGCCCAGUAAACUCCAAACCAGCUACUCUAGUGGAAGUCCUCAAGAAAAUUCAAGGUUGCACCCCCCAAAAAAAAGUCGUGAUAACAAAUAGGCCAAGUCGUUCCUGAA